AGUGAACGCUGGCGGUAGGCCUAACACAUGCAAGUCGAACGGCAGCACAGUAAGAGCUUGCUCUUACGGGUGGCGAGUGGCGGACGGGUGAGGAAUACAUCGGAAUCUACUUUUUCGUGGGGGAUAACGUAGGGAAACUUACGCUAAUACCGCAUACGACCUACGGGUGAAAGCAGGGGAUCUUCGGACCUUGCGCGAUUGAAUGAGCCGAUGUCGGAUUAGCUAGUUGGCGGGGUAAAGGCCCACCAAGGCGACGAUCCGUAGCUGGUCCGAGAGGAUGAUCAGCCACACUGGAACUGAGACACGGUCCAGACUCCUACGGGAGGCAGCAGUGGGGAAUAUUGGACAAUGGGCGCAAGCCUGAUCCAGCCAUACCGCGUGGGUGAAGAAGGCCUUCGGGUUGUAAAGCCCUUUUGUUGGGAAAGAAAAGCAGCAGGUUAAUACCCCGCUGUUCCGACGGUACCCAAAGAAUAAGCACCGGCUAACUUCGUG
rnacentral:rRNA from 1 species